rnacentral:rRNA from 1 species
UACGUAGGGGGCAAGCGUUGUCCGGAUUUAUUGGGCGUAAAGAGCGUGUAGGCGGCCAGGGAGGUCCGUUGUGAAAACUCGAGGCUCAACCUCGAGACGCCGAUGGAAACCCCCUGGCUAGAGUCCGGAAGAGGAGAAUGGAAUUCCUGGUGUGGCGGUGAAAUGCGCAGAUAUCAGGAAGAACACCCGUGGCUAAGGCGGUUCUCUAGUACGGUACUGACGCUGAGACGCGAAAGCGUGGGGAGCGAACAGG